rnacentral:rRNA from 1 species
AAAUUGAAGAGUUUGAUCAUGGCUCAGAUUGAACGCUGGCGGCAGGCCUAACACAUGCAAGUCGAACGGUAACAGAAAGCAGCUUGCUGCUUUGCUGACGAGUGGCGGACGGGUGAGUAAUGUCUGGGAAACUGCA